rnacentral:rRNA from 1 species
UACGAAGGGGGCUAGCGUUGCUCGGAAUCACUGGGCGUAAAGGGUGCGUAGGCGGGUUUUUAAGUCAGGGGUGAAAUCCUGGAGCUCAACUCCAGAACUGCCUUUGAUACUGAGGAUCUUGAGUUCGGGAGAGGUGAGUGGAACUGCGAGUGUAGAGGUGAAAUUCGUAGAUAUUCGCAAGAACACCAGUGGCGAAGGCGGCUCACUGGCCCGAUACUGACGCUGAGGAGCGAAAGCGUGGGGAGCAAACAGG